rnacentral:rRNA from 1 species
GACGAACGCUGGCGGCGUGCUUAACACAUGCAAGUCGAACGGAAAGGCCCUGCUUUUGUGGGGUGCUCGAGUGGCGAACGGGUGAGUAACACGUGAGUAACCUGCCCUUGACUUUGGGAUAACUUCAGUAAACUGGGGCUAAUACCGGAUAGGAGCUCCUGCUGCAUGGUGGGGGUUGGAAAGUUUCGGCGGUUGGGGAUGGACUCGCGGCUUAUCAGCUUGUUGGUGGGGUAGUGGAUUACCAAGGCUUUGACGGGUAGCCGGCCUGAGAGGGUGACCGGCCACAUUGGGACUGAGAUACCGCCCAGACUCCUACGGGAGGAAGCAGUGCGGAAUAUUGCACAAUGGGCGGAAGCCGGAUGCAGCAACGCCGCGUGGGGGAUGACGGCCUUCGGUUUGUAAACCGCUUUCGCCUGUGACGAAGAGUGAGUGACGGUAAUGGGUAAAGAAGCACCGGCUAACUACGUG